rnacentral:rRNA from 1 species
CCUACGGGUGGCAGCAGUGGGGGAUAUUGCACAAUGGGGGAAACCCUGAUGCAGCGACGCCGCGUGGGUGAAGAAGGUCCUCGGCGCGUAAAGCCCUGUCAGCAGGGAAGAAAAUGACGGUACCUGACGAAGAAGCCCCGGCUAACUACGUGCCAGCAGCCGCGGUAAUACGUAGGGGGCAAGCGUUAUCCGGAUUUACUGGGCGUAAAGGGGGCGCAGGCGGGGAUGCAAGCCAGGAGUGAAAGCCCGGGGCCGAACCCCGGGACUGCUGUUGAAACUGGGUGGCGAGAGUGCAGGAGGGGUAGGCGGAAUUCCUGGCGUAGCGGUGAAAUGCGUAGAUAUCAGGAGGAACACCGGUGGCGAAGGCGGCCUGCUGGACUGCAACUGACGUUGAGGCCCGAAAGCGUGGGGAGCAAACAGGAUUAGAUACCCGAGUAGUC